AACGAACGCUGGCGGCAGGCUUAACACAUGCAAGUCGAGCGCCCCGCAAGGGGAGCGGCAGACGGGUGAGUAACGCGUGGGAAUCUACCCAUCUCUACGGAAUAACGCAUGGAAACGUGUGCUAAUACCGUAUACGUCCUUCGGGAGAAAGAUUUAUCGGAGAUGGAUGAGCCCGCGUUGGAUUAGCUAGUUGGGGGGGUAAAGGCCUACCAAGGCGACGAUCCAUAGCUGGUCUGAGAGGAUGAUCAGCCACACUGGGACUGAGACACGGCCCAGACUCCUACGGGAGGCAGCAGUGGGGAAUAUUGGACAAUGGGCGCAAGCCUGAUCCAGCCAUGCCGCGUGAGUGAUGAAGGCCCUAGGGUUGUAAAGCUCUUUCACCGGUGAAGAUAAUGACGGUAACCGGAGAAGAAGCCCCGGCUAACUUCGUGCCAGCCGCCACCGUAAAAC
rnacentral:rRNA from 1 species